CACGACUCAGUCCUCCAUGUGGCAGCAUGGAGUUUUCCUGCCUUUGAUCCUUUCUUGUGGUUUGACACUUACCCUGCUCCCUCUGGGGUCCAGGCUAGUGAAAAACUAAGCUGAUAAGAGGGGAUCUUUGUUAAAAUGGAGAAAACAGACAGGGAAUCUGUGCAGUUAGGAUCCUGGAAGGAAAUGGGUGGGAUCGUUCAGGAGAGUGUCGUGAGAGACCGUUUCCAAGGGUGUGAGAUGGGUAAGGGGAACCACCAACAAUGGUGGAGGUCAUUACCAAACACAGGCCAGAAGGGCAGGGAGAACGCUGGUGACCAGCACCCGGAAGCCGCUGACAGUGUGGGCUUUGGAAGACGAACACAGCAAUUGGGAGGAGAUGAUCCAGGUGCUUGUCCUUGACGGUGUCUGUCUCCACGGAGGAUAGUGGAUUCUGGAGCCAGGAAGAAAGAGAAUGUUGUGUGAAGAGGUGAUACUGGGAGCUGCUGCAACCAUCUUGCAACCACAAGGAGACAAACUUGAGGACAAAAGGUAACGUGAAAAUGGCAAAGAAUGACUUAGGUCUUUGAUGUUAUCAUUGAACUAUGAAAUGAGCCAACUGAAAUCUGCAUAUCUCAAGAAUUCUUAUGUUGUGAAAUAAAUCUUUCUGGUCUUGAAGUUAUUGUAAGUUGGGUCCUUUGUUAAUUGCUGAUAAAAAAUCUUGACUAAUACAUAUAAUGAGAAGGCAACAAAAUCAUUAAAUUGGUAUCUUAAGAGAUUGAAUAACGAAUAAAAAUCACUCGCAAAAGACUGAACUAAAAAAGACAAUAACAACCAAAAAAGGUGGUAAGUAGGAAUGGCAUAAAUGCACUGUUGUUUAGCAAGUUUGUGAGUGUUGGAUAAAA
rnacentral:lncRNA from 1 species